UUGCUUUGGUGGCAUACAUACAAAAAUUGGAACAACCCAGAGAAGAUUAGGAUGGUCCUUGAGUAAGGAUGACAUAGAAAUUCAUGAAGAAUUCCAUAUUUCU
ensembl:snRNA Gm23625 U6 spliceosomal RNA